rnacentral:rRNA from 1 species
UGGGGAAUUUUGGACAAUGGGCGCAAGCCUGAUCCAGCAAUGCCGCGUGAGUGAAGAAGACCUUCGGGUUGUAAAGCUCUUUUGUCAGGGAAGAAACGGCCUGGGUUAAUACCUCGGGCUAAUGACGGUACCUGAAGAAUAAGCACCGGCUAACUCCGUGCCAGCAGCCGCGGUAAUACGGAGGGUGCAAGCGUUAAUCGGAAUUACUGGGCGUAAAGCGUGCGCAGGCGGUUUGUUAAGUCUGCUGUGAAAUCCCCGAGCUCAACUUGGGAAUUGCAGUGGAUACUGGCAGGCUGGAGUACGGUAGAGGAAGGUGGAAUUCCCGGUGUAGCAGUGAAAUGCGUAGAGAUCGGGAGGAACACCAGUGGCGAAGGCGGCCUUCUGGACCAGUACUGACGCUCAUGCACGAAAGCGUGGGGAGCAAAC